rnacentral:rRNA from 1 species
AUGGCUGCUAAGGUGGCGGAGACAGCUCACGCGCCGGAGACGACUCAGGCAGCUGAGACGGCUGAGCUGGACUAUGAGGAGUCUGCUGAUGGGCCUCCUCUGGCUGACACGCGUCAUCCCUGGCCUUUACCGUCCCGGCCAUGGACUGCUGCCAAUCUCUCUCCUUCCCGAACUUGUAUUCCUUCCCGUGUACCGCCCCUCCCUCAUGAUGCAUAUCCAUUGUUCGGAGAGAGUCUGAUGCCACGGUUGGCACUCGCAAGCAACCCAAGAAAACCAUCCCAAGCUAGCAAAGCCUGCCAAGCUUCCCCACAGACCAGGUUGCGGGCCCAACUGCCCGCCUGUCGUUCCUACCCGCCGAUCCGCCCACCGCCUGUCGUGCCAUCGACUGGCGGGGGCAGCUGCCCGAUCAACACGCUGAAGCUGGGCGUGUGCGCCAACGUGCUGAACCUGCUGAAGCUCAGGAUCGGUGUGCCGGCGAACGAGCAGUGUUGCCCGCUCCUGGGCGGGCUUGCCGCCCUCGACGCCACCGUGUGCCUUUGCACCGCCAUCAGGGCCAACAUCCUCGGCAUCAAGCUCGACGUCCCCAUCGACCUGACCCUCCUCCUCAACCAGUGCGGCAAGAAGUGCCCCGCCAACUUCACCUGCCCCAUCUGA